CACUUGACCAUAUAUGCAAGGUUUUAUUCCUGGGAUCUCUGUUUUGUUACACUGGUCUGUAUGUCUGCCUUUAUGCCACGCCACACAAUUUUGG